GUGAAAAAGUGAUUUUAAUGGCACCCUACUUCUUAUUGUGAAAAAGUGAUUUUCCCUUAAAGAUAGAGGGUUAUCAUUCAUGUAACUUAUAUGAAAACAUUCAAGUACUACAUGACUUCUGUGUGUAAAUACAAUCACAUUAUAAUCCUAGUUCAAUUACAAUCGUAUUCUUUUACUUACAAACUUGUCAAAAUGUAAAUACAAUCACAUUAUAUGUCCAAAAAUUUAUAACGUAGCCAUAGCUGCCAAUCGGGAAUAUCACACAAUCAUUUAGCAAUUAUUUACAAUUGCAUUAGUUAGAAAACUUGGAGAACAAUCUUGUACAAAACAAAGACACGUAUUGCACCCUUCCCAUUGCAUACUGAACUUCACAAACACAUGCAUUGCUUAUAGACAUGAUUGAUUCAGGGUAUAAACGUUAUUUAGUCAUUAGCAUGUUUUAUUUAGGCAUCAUGAAGCAUUAUCU
rnacentral:misc_RNA from 1 species